CCCUACUGCUAUUGGGGUGGGACUAAGACAUGCGAGUUGUGCGUCUCUAAGCCAUGGUAGAGACGCAGCGUACGGCUCAGUAACACGUGGCUAACCUACCCUUAGGACGGGGACAACCCCGGGAAACUGGGGCUAAUACCCGAUAGGUGAGGAGGCCUGGAAUGGUUCCUAGUCGAAAAGGCGUUGAAACCAUGCUUUUCGACGUCGCCUAAGGAUGGGGCCGCGCCCGAUCAGGUUGUUGGUGGGGUAACGGCUCACCAAACCUAUAACCGGUACGGGCCGUGAGAGCGGGAGCCCGGAGAUGGGCACUGAGACAAGGGCCCAGGCCCUACGGGGCGCAGCAGUCGCGAAAACUCCGCAAUGCGCGAAAGCGUGACGGGGCUAUCCCGAGUGCCGUCCGCUGAGGAUGGCUUUUCCCCGGUGUAAUGAGCCGGGGGAAUAAGGAGAGGGCAAGUCUGGUGUCAGCCGCCGCGGUAAUACCAGCUCUCCGAGUGGUAGGGAUGAUUAUUGGGCUUAAAGCGUCCGUAGCCGGCUUAGCAAGUCUCCUGUUAAAUUCAGCGACCUAAUCGUUGAGCCGCGGGAGAUACUACUAGGCUAGGAGGCGGGAGAGGCCGACGGUAUUCUCGGGGUAGGGGUGAAAUCCUAUAAUCCCGGGAGGACCACCAGUGGCGAAGGCUGUCGGCUAGAACGCGCUCGACGGUGAGGGACGAAAGCUGGGGGAGCAAACCGGAUUAGAUACCCGGGUAGUCCCAGCUGUAAACGAUGCGGGCUAGGUGUUGGGGUGGCUACGAGCCACUUCAGUGCCGCAGGGAAGCCGUUAAGCCCGCCGCCUGGGGAGUACGGCCGCAAGGCUGAAACUUAANGGAAUUGGCGGGGGAGCACCACAAGGCGUGAAGCUUGCGGUUC
rnacentral:rRNA from 1 species